ACGAACGCUGGCGGCGUGCUUAACACAUGCAAGUCGAACGGAAAGGCCUGCUUUCCCUUGUGGAUUGCGGGUGCUCGAGUGGCGAACGGGUGAGUAACACGUGAGUGAUCUGCCCCCAACUUGGGUAUAAGCCUGGGAAACUGGGUCUAAUUCCCGAUAGGACUGCAGGGUGGUGCCUGUGGUGGAAAACGAUUUUCUAGUGGUUGGGGAUGAGCUCGCGGCCUAUCAGCUUGUUGGUGGGGUAAUGGCCUACCAAGGCGGCGACGGGUAGCCGGCCUGAGAGGGUGGACGGCCACAUUGGGACUGAGAUACGGCCCAGACGCCUACGGGAGGCAGCAGUGGGGAAUAUUGCACAAUGGGCGGAAGCCUGAUGCAGCGACGCCGCGUGGGGGAUGACGGCCUUCGGGUUGUAAACUCCUUUCGACCGCGAGGAAGCCACCUGGUGGGAAGGGUGGUGACGGUAGUGGUAGAAGAAGCACCGGCUAACUACGU
rnacentral:rRNA from 1 species